UUCCUUUAAUAGCACAUACACAAAAAUUGGAAUGACAGAGAAGAUUAGCAUGGCCCCUGCUCAAAGAUGACACGCAAAUUUCUGACACGUUCCAUAUUAAA
rnacentral:snRNA from 1 species